AUUGAACGCUGGCGGCAGGCCUAACACAUGCAAGUCGAGCGAGCGGAGGACGGGGGAGGAAUGUAUGGGGACUGCCCGAUAGAGGGGGAUAACAACGGGAAACGGUGGCUAAUACCGCAUACUGGCGGAUAACCCAUAUGGGAUUAGCUCGUAGGUAAGGUAAUGGCUUACCUAGGCGACGAUCCCUAGCUGGUCUGAGCGGAUGAUCAGCCACACUGAGACUGAGACACGGCCCAGACUCCUACGGAGGCAGCAGUGGGGAAUGUUGAACAAUGGGCGCAAGCCUGAUGCAGCCAUGCCGCGUGAAUGAAGAAGGCCCUAGGGUUGUAAAGUACUUUCAUUCGGGAGGCGUUACCGAAAGAAGAAGCACCGGCUAACUCCGUGCCAGCCGCCGCGGUAAUAC
rnacentral:rRNA from 1 species